rnacentral:rRNA from 1 species
AGAGUUUGAUUAUGGCUCAGGAUGAACGCUAGCUACAGGCUUAACACAUGCAAGUCGAGGGGCAGCAUUAGAGUAGCAAUACUCAGAUGGCGACCGGCGCACGGGUGAGUAACACGUAUCCAACCUGCCGCUUACUCGGGGAUAGCCUUUCGAAAGAAAGAUUAAUACCCGAUGGUAUAAAGAGUUCGCAUGUUCUCUUUAUUAAAGAAUUUCGGUAAGCGAUGGGGAUGCGUUCCAUUAGAUAGUUGGCGGGGUAACGGCCCACCAAGUCUACGAUGGAUAGGGGUUCUGAGAGGAAGGUCCCCCACAUUGGAACUGAGACACGGUCCAAACUCCUACGGGAGGCAGCAGUGAGGAAUAUUGGUCAAUGGACGAGAGUCUGAACCAGCCAAAAGUAGCGUGAAGGAUGACUGCCCUAUGGGUUGUAAACUUCUUUUAUAAGGGAAUAAAGUGAGGGACGUGUCCCUUUUUGUAUGUACCUUAUGAAUAAGGAUCGGCUAACUCCGUGCCAGCCGCCGC